GGCUUGCUGGUCUAGUGGUAUGAUUCUCGCUUUGGGUGCGAGAGGUCACGAGUUCGAUUCCCGUGCAAGCCC
rnacentral:tRNA from 1 species